rnacentral:rRNA from 1 species
AAAACUCCCUUGACGGUACUUAAUGAAUAAGCCCCGGCUAAUUAUGUGCCAGCAGCCGCGGUAAUACAUAAGGGGCGAGCGUUAUCCGGAAUUAUUGGGCGUAAAGGGUGCGUAGGCGGUUUAAUAAGUCUAUAGUUUAAUUUCAGUGCUUAACGCUGUUGUGCUAUAGAAACUGUUUUACUAGAGUGAGUUAGAGGCAAGCGGAAUUCCAUGUGUAGCGGUAAAAUGCGUAAAUAUAUGGAGGAACACCAGAGGCGUAGGCGGCUUGCUGGGACUUUACUGACGCUGAGGCACGAAAGCGUGGGGAGCAAACAGGAUUAGAUACCCUGGUAGUCCACACCGUAAACGAUGAGUACUAAGUGUCGGGUAAAACCGGUACUGAAGUUAACACAUUAAGUACUCCGCCUGAGUAGUACGUACGCAAGUAUGAAACUUAAAGGAAUUGACGGGACUCCGCACAAGCGGUGGAUCAUGUUGUUUAAUUCGAAGAUACACGAAAAACCUUACCAGGUCUUGACAUUUUCUUGCGAAGUUAUAGAAAUAUAAUGGAGGUUAUCAGGAAAACAGGUGGUGCAUGGUUGUCGUCAGCUCGUGUCGUGAGAUGUUAGGUUAAGUCCUAAAACGAGCGCAACCCUUGUCGUUAAUUGCCAGCAUGUAAUGAUGGGGACUUUAACGAGACUGCCAAUGAAAAAUUGGAGGAAGGUGGGGAUUACGUCAAAUCAUCAUGCCCCUUAUGAUCUGGGCUACAAACGUGAUACAAUGGUUGAUACAAAGAGUAGCUGAAACGCGAGUUCUUAGCCAAUCUCACAAAAUCAAU